rnacentral:snRNA from 1 species
GUGCUCGCUUUGGCAGCACAUAUACUAAAAUUGGAACCAUACAGAGAUUAGCAUGGCCCCUGUUUUUUUAAUGUAAAAAAAAGAAUAUGAAUUUAACUAU